GAUGAAGAACGUAGCAAAAUGCGAUACUUGGUGUGAAUUGCAGAAUCCCGUGAACCAUCGAGUUUUUGAACGCAAGUUGCGCCCGAAGCCUUUUGGCCGAGGGCACGUCUGCCUGGGCGUCACGCAUCGCGUCGCCCCCCACAAUUCUCCGUAAAAGGAACAUGUGUUUUGGGGGCGGAUAUUGGUCUCCCGUGCUCAUGGCGUGGUUGGCCGAAAUAGGAGUCCUUUCGAUGGACGCACGAACUAGUGGUGGUCGUAAAAGCCCUCGUCUUUUGUUUCGUGCUGUUGCUCGCAAGGUAAACUCUUUAAAAACCCCAAUGUGUCGUCUCUUGACGACGCUUCGACCGCGACCCCAGGUCAGGCGGGACUACCCGCUGAGUUUAAGCAUAUCAAUAAGCGGAGGA
rnacentral:misc_RNA from 1 species